rnacentral:rRNA from 1 species
AGGACGACGCUGGCGGCGUGCCUAACACAUGCAAGUCGAGCGGGGUUGAGGCGAGAGGUAACUCGAACUUCUACCUAGCGGCGGACGGGUGAGUAACGCGUGGGCAACCUGCCUCAAGGUUUGGGAUAACAGCCCGAAAGGGCUGCUAAUACCGGAUAUGCCUAUGGCCUCGCAUGGGGCUAUGAGCAAAGGGGAAACCCGCCUUGAGAUGGGCCCGCGUCCCAUCAGCUAGUUGGUGAGGUAACAGCUCACCAAGGCGACGACGGGUAGCCGGCCUGAGAGGGUGACCGGCCACACUGGGACUGAGACACGGCCCAGACUCCUACGGGGGGCAGCAGUGGGGGAUCUUGCACAAUGGGCGAAAGCCUGAUGCAGCGACGCCGCGUGAGCGAAGAAGGCCUUCGGGUUGUAAAGCUCUGUCUGGAGGGACGAACAAAAUGACGGUACCUCCGGAGGAAGCCACGGCUAACUACGUG